GGAGUAAAAGUCGUAACAAGGUUUCCGUAGGUGAACCUGCGGAAGGAUCAUUAUCGUACAAAAUGUGAGGGGCAUGCGAGGGCUGUCGCUGACCCAAAAGCCGUGCACGCCCGAGUGUGUCCUCUUGCAUAAUAAUCCAUCUCACCCUUUGUGCAUCACCGCGUGGGCACCCUUCGGGAUCAUCUCGGAGGGGGGCUCGCGUUUUCACACAAACCCCCCUUUUAAAAGUGUAGAAUGACCACAUUUAUGCAAUCAAUACAACUUUCAACAACGGAUCUCUUGGCUCUC
rnacentral:misc_RNA from 1 species